rnacentral:tRNA from 1 species
GCCCGGAUGGUGGAAUGGUAGACACAGGGGACUUAAAAUCCCCCGACUAUUGCAGUCGUGCUGGUUCAAGUCCAGUUCCGGGCACCA